rnacentral:piRNA from 1 species
UGAUAUGCUGGGUACAUGGGGAAGA